GAUGAACGCUGGCGGCGUGCCUAAUACAUGCCAGUCGAGCGAACAGACGAGGAGCUUGCUCCUCUGACGUUAGCGGCGGACGGGUGAGUAACACGUGGAUAACCUACCUAUAAGACUGGGAUAACUUCGGGAAACCGGAGCUAAUACCGGAUAAUAUAUUGAACCGCAUGGUUCAAUAGUGAAAGACGGUUUUGCUGUCACUUAUAGAUGGAUCCGCGCCGCAUUAGCUAGUUGGUAAGGUAACGGCUUACCAAGGCGACGAUGCGUAGCCGACCUGAGAGGGUGAUCGGCCACACUGGAACUGAGACACGGUCCAGACUCCUACGGGAGGCAGCAGUAGGGAAUCUUCCGCAAUGGGCGAAAGCCUGACGGAGCAACGCCGCGUGAGUGAUGAAAGUCUUCGGAUCGUAAAACUCUGUUAUUAGGGAAGAACAAAUGUGUAAGUAACUAUGCACGUCUUGACGGUACCUAAUCAGAAAGCCACGGCUAACUACGUG
rnacentral:rRNA from 1 species